GGGGAGUUAUUUAUAUUUGCCUGAUGAAGAGGAAAGGAAAAAAAAAAUGAUCUGUAUCUUCAUUAUGCAUCUUGAGAAAUAAUCACUCACUUCUUGCUAAAUUUCAUUACUAUUUUUGUUUAGACUUAAUACUGAUUGUUCAAUAUUGCAUGUAGGAAGUCAGAGAAGAGUCCCAAUUUUCACUUUCAUGUCAUGCUUAUCCUCCAACUUUCCAUGCAUUGUAAGAUAGUAUGUUUUAACUAUUAAUCAUUUGUGCAUUGAUUUACAAACAUAAAUGCAGCAAAUAGCAAUUGGUUUAACUGACUGUGCUUAUUAAUUUUAAACGACGAGCUCUGCAUCUGGAUAAACAUAGUAGUUGAAUUCGUUGAUGAAAGGUGGUAUGAAUGUUAGUUACUUGCAAGUAAUGGAUUUUGCUUUAGGUACAUGAGUAAUAAAGCAUAAAAACAGUUGGGACCUCUUAACUUCCAAUCAAUACUGCUGAAUUUGCAAAACUGUGUGAUACUAAUUUGCAGAUGUUGACCUAGCGAAGCCCAGUCCUGAUUGAACUUCAGGGAAGCAAUAGAGUGUCUAGGAAGAGCCAUAGAUCUACUCCAUAGAUUGACUCUUAUGCUUAUUUUCUCAAAAACAUCAUCUACUUCUUUAUUAUUAAUUUAGUGUUGCCGGCUACCAGUGUGGAUAGGAGUGAUCAACUUUGCCAUUUUCUGUACGUUAGAGUUUGCGAAAGGAGUACUUGGGUCUUAUAUGUAAAUUUCAGUCAAGGUUUUUCUUUAAAUUUCAAUGUUUUAGAUUAAUACACAUGCAAAAAGUGAAUGAGGUCGUAAUCGUAUACCCUUUUUUUUUUCCUUCUUUAACAUAUUUUGUUCAUGUACAAAACCAAUGAAGAUCAUUUUUCUUCAUCAUUAAUGUGCUAAAUCAUUGUGCACCAGAUCAUCAUAUUCUUAGUAGUAUGACCUGUACAUAAGCAUGGAACUGUGAGCUUGCAGGAAGAUUUAUGAAAUUGCAGUAUGCUUACUUGUAUACGUUGAUGCAAGGCAGAAAAUAAACACUCCUCUGAAUGGAACCAAAAACAAUGUGAUAAAGCAUAAUGCUUAUCCGCAUGACUCGGAAGUAUGAUGACAAUUGAUGUCUACCAUCUGCUGUAAUAUGGAAACCAUGACUUAAUUAUGUACUUUUGGUGUGUUUCGAGGACAACACUUCCCAUGUGUCUGUCAUUCAUGAAUUUGCGUUAGUUCGCACUAACAUCUCAACUCAGAUUAGCAAACUAGCCAGUCUUACUCUUAUGCUAUAAACAUACUGUUCCAAGUGUCCGACUUUGAUAUUUGAUUUGGAAGCCUCAUCCAAAGAGAGAAGUUUUGAAAUAUGGCUUCUUUAUUUGAGUUCAUUUCCUUCAAUCCAAAUGUUUGAAACAAACUUAGGAAAAAUGUGAAAAGAAGUAUUGAAGGCCAUAUGCUAUAUAAAAUACUAAAUGAUACUAUUUUAAACCUCAUCUUGCAUAUUCAGUAUAGUCCAUUGCCUUCAAUAUGCAAAGAAGUCCUAAUAAUGUGGAAGUUUAGAAACCUAAUAUUGUGUGAUAAUUCAAGAUAAGUUAAAAUACAAGUUAUUGCACUUGUGAAAGAUUUGAAUUCAUAAUUUGAGUUUGUUUAGGCAAAGCUAAAAUUGAAGAAGUGUUUUUAUCCAUGUGGGUAAAAGUAAAUUGUAGCAUUAUUUCAUGGAAGAUGUGAAGGACUAACAAUCUAUUGAGUUGGUCUUGCAUGUUGCAGCAGUGGUACCAUAGUGAAGCAAUUGAAAGAGAUCAAUCAUGACUAACACCCUCGACACCAAAUAUGUUACUGCUGAAAGAUAUUACAUGAAAGAGUGGGCUAUAUACUAUUCGGCUUCCAUAUCAUAAUUUCUAAUUACAUCGGGUAGGACGACUGUGAAUGCCUUGAUCAUGAUUCUCCUUCAGAUUAUAUAGUGAAUAACUGCAAUGGGGAAUUGCGGAGUUAUUACUCCCAAAACUAGGGGCUAGCAUGCUACAGGAUUAAGAUUGUAAUUUUGCUUACGUUCCUUGUAUACGAAAGAAGAAAGUAGCUUAAUCAGCAGGUGUUUGGCGGCCUACCCUCCAGUGUUCAACGAUGGUUAGCCGAGAAAGCGUGCAUUUUUGCAAUGCUAUAGGCCCUUGAACAACUCUGGUUUGUUUCUUCCGUAAUAAUGAAAGGAGGAGAGAUUUACAGAGCAGCAAACCGGGAGCUUCUAUGAGAAAGAUUGCAGCUUUCAGUAUGUUGAUAAUGGAUGUAGAAGAUGCUGCUUUGUAGAGGAAAAUGCAGAGGCAAGGAAGCUAUUUUUACGGCCAAGGACAAGCAACGGCUAAGAGUGAAGAGAGAUUUGGUCAAAGAUCUAAAAAAUAAAAGGUGCAAAACUGAGCUCGGGGGUCAUUCCUGCGAGUCACCGAAACAUGAAUCCCUACAAGUUCUCCUCAGUCUAUCUGGCUGCCUCCGUUAUCACUUCCAUCUGUUUUAGUAAAAGAUACAGUAAUUGGUAUCCUCAUGGAUUAGCAAUUCCUGUAUCCCCAUCUCCUAUGAAAGAAACAAUGGGAAAGAAAAUCCUCAACAAGGUGUGCAGGUUGUUGUGCAUUCAGGCUGGGGUUAUUUCAUCUCAAUCAUUCAAAAAUAAAACAGGUACAAGCAAAUUGAUGUCAGUUUCACGUAAGAUCUUGGAAACUUUGAGGAAAACUGGUAGGGGCAUUCCACUUUAAAACACUGUGCCUAUCGUUAACUGCAGUAUUAUUCGGUACGUUAUCCCAGCUCUGUAAAAUAACCAAACUCGCUUAUCCAUUAUUAUGUGCAUCUCUGUUUCCUUUCUUUUAUACGUAUACACAUACAGGCACGCAUGCAUGCCUGUGUGAAAUUGAGAUUUAAACUCAUUUCAGUAGACACUCCCUCAGAGUUCGUAGUUCAACGAACACCAUGAGUUUCUGAUACUUGUCCAGAGAAACUUAUACUAAUUGAAGCAUAUCCUCAGAAUACAAUGAUCCUUCAUUGGAAAGUGAAAGCUCACCAGUCACCUGACCUCUUAUCUUCAAUGACUGCUACUGUUAGAUGCGCGAUGUCAUCUAAUGAGUUACUUAAUAUCUUUGGUUAUAGUUAAAAUUUAUGUUGAUUUAUUCGUUUACUUCCACUUAUUUUCAAAAUAUGAAAACAUGUUAAAUUCCUAAAGGGAAAGUGACUAUAUAGCUAGUUUGAUGCUGUGCAAUAUUUAUAGUUUUUAGAAAGUUAUGUA